CAGCUCGUGUUGUGAAAUGUUGGGUUAAGUCCCGCAACGAGCGCAACCCUUAUCCUUUGUUGCCAGCGGUCCGGCCGGGAACUCAAAGGAGACUGCCAGUGAUAAACUGGAGGAAGGUGGGGAUGACGUCAAGUCAUCAUGGCCCUUACGACCAGGGCUACACACGUGCUACAAUGGCGCAUACAAAGAGAAGCGACCUCGCGAGAGCAAGCGGACCUCAUAAAGUGCGUCGUAGUCCGGAUUGGAGUCUGCAACUCGACUCCAUGAAGUCGGAAUCGCUAGUAAUCGUGGAUCAGAAUGCCACGGUGAAUACGUUCCCGGGCCUUGUACACACCGCCCGUCACACCAUGGGAGUGGGUUGCAAAAGAAGUAGGUAGCUUAACCUUCGGGAGGGCGCUUACCACUUUGUGAUUCAUGACUGGGGUGAAGUCGUAACAAGGUAACCGUAGGG
rnacentral:rRNA from 1 species